GAAUCCAACUGUUUAAUUAAAACAAAGCAUUGAGAGGGCCCACGGCGGGAGCUGACCAUGGUCCUGACGCUAUGUGAUUUUUGCUCAGUGCUCUAAAUUUAAAAGUGAAGAAAUUCAAUGAAGCGUGGGUUUAUGUGUUCUUUGCAUGCUUUCUUCAUAUUUAUUUUAACGUGGUUC
rnacentral:ncRNA from 1 species